UCUUCAUUUCACACGCUCUCUCGCCCGGUCAGAGAGACGAGAGAGUGUGUGCGAAAUGAGGAGA
rnacentral:pre_miRNA from 1 species